rnacentral:rRNA from 1 species
UACGAAGGGUGCAAGCGUUAAUCGGAAUUACUGGGCGUAAAGGGUGCGUAGGCGGUUCGUUAAGUCUGUCGUGAAAUCCCCGGGCUCAACCUGGGAAUGGCGAUGGAUACUGGCGAGCUAGAGUGUGUCAGAGGAUGGUGGAAUUCCCGGUGUAGUGGUGAAAUGCGUAGAGAUCGGGAGGAACACCUGUGGCGAAGGCGGCCAACUGGGCCGACCCUGACGCUGAGGCGCGAAGGCGUGGGGAGCGAACGGG